rnacentral:rRNA from 1 species
AUCUUGGUCAGGAUGAACGCUAGCGACAGGCUUAACACAUGCAAGUCGAGGGGCAGCAUAAAAGUAGCAAUACUUGGUGGCGACCGGCGCACGGGUGAGUAACGCGUAUGCAACCUACCUAUCAGAGGGGAAUAACCCGGCGAAAGUCGGACUAAUACCGCAUAAAACAGGGGCACCGCAUGGUGAUAUUUGUUAAAGAAAUUCGCUGAUAGAUGGGCAUGCGUUCCAUUAGGUAGUUGGUGAGGUAACGGCUCACCAAGCCGACGAUGGAUAGGGGAACUGAGAGGUUGGUCCCCCACACUGGUACUGAGACACGGACCAGACUCCUACGGGAGGCAGCAGUGAGGAAUAUUGGUCAAUGGGCGGGAGCCUGAACCAGCCAAGUCCGCGUGAAGGAAGAAGGAUCUAUGGUUCGUAAACUUCUUUUAUAAGGGAAUAAAGUGAGGGACGUGUCCCUUUUUGUAUGUACCUUAUGAAUAAGGAUCGGCUAACUCCGUGCCAGCCGCAGC